AUUGAACGCUGGCGGCAUGCCUUACACAUGCAAGUCGAACGGUAACGGGCCUUCGGGUGCCGACGAGUGGCGAACGGGUGAGUAAUGCAUCGGAACGUACCUUUCAGUGGGGGAUAACGUAGCGAAAGUUACGCUAAUACCGCAUAUUCUGUGAGCAGGAAAGCAGGGGAUCGCAAGACCUCGCGCUGAUUGAGCGGCCGAUGUCAGAUUAGCUAGUUGGUGAGGUAAAGGCUCACCAAGGCGACGAUCUGUAGCGGGUCUGAGAGGAUGAUCCGCCACACUGGAACUGAGACACGGUCCAGACUCCUACGGGAGGCAGCAGUGGGGAAUUUUGGACAAUGGGGGCAACCCUGAUCCAGCCAUGCCACGUGAGUGAAGAAGGCCUUCGGGUUGUAAAGCUCUUUCGGCCGGGAAGAAAUCGUAUGGGCUAAUACCCUGUGCGGAUGACGGUACCGGCAUAAGAAGCACCGGCUAACUACGUGCCAGCAGCCGCGGUAAUAC
rnacentral:rRNA from 1 species